CUCUUCAGCUGUUUAAAGACAGUUUGGGUGGUUUUUAAAUGGCCGGGGGAAGUCUUCCCCAUGGUAAAUCAGGACAUGCGGACAGAAAAGUGAUCACCGCCUUCCUCAUCAUCCAUCCACAGUGAGACCAAUGGCCUCUGCUCUUCAGCUUCCUUCCAGGAGUCUGGACUCCGCGACCAGGUGCAGAGGCAGGGCCACUGCCCUGGGCUGCCGGGCUGCAGCAGGAAGCGGUCUCGCGAGGUCAGGCACCAGCAGAGAGGCUGGGCUCUUCUUGGACAAGAAGAUGGUUCCUUCAACCAGUGAAAAGAAACUGUAGGGCAGCUCUCUGCUGGUUCCAGCAAGGCCUUGGUUCAGAGUCAAGGAAACCAAGAUGGAGCCUCAGUCAGUGGAGAUUUAGUAUCUUCCUCCAUCUUCAUCACUGGGUCCUGGAGAAGUUCCAGGUUGUUGUAAACAUCUGUUGGGGUGAUGGACGUAAAGCUCCCUGCACAGCAAACUGCACUAAGAACUCCACAAACUCCCAAAGUUAAGAUAAUGACUUCUGAUUUCAAGAAACACCCAGUCUAGUGAAAAGACCAAUAUGUUAACAGAUAAAUGUCAUUAGUGUGAUGGGUAUGACUAUUUUUGACUUUUCUUUAAAAAUCAAACAUUUACAGAGCACUUACUAUGUGCCAGACACUGUGCUAAACAGUUGUACCUGGAUCAUCUCAUUUAUUUGCACAAAACCAUAUAUAGCAGGAACCACAGUUUUUCCCAGUGAGGAAUCUGAGGUUUAGGCCAUUUAAACCUCAGGGCCACAGAGCUGGAAAGGGACAGAAGGAGGGUUUGAACCCAGCAAUCUGGUUCCAGAGGCGGAUUUCAAGGCACAAAGAGACGGAAAGAAGCCAGGAGAGGCUUCACAGAGGAGGUGCUGGAGCGGCGAGUGGUUUUCCAGGCACCAAAGUCAUGGGAGAAGGAGUCCAGGCAGGAGGGAAGA